rnacentral:tRNA from 1 species
AGGAUAGUAGUUAAUAAUAACAUUUGGGUUGCAUUCAAAAAGUACUAGAAUAUAGUCUAUCUUA